UACACUCCUACGGGAGGCAGCAGUGGGGAAUAUUGGACAAUGGGCGCAAGCCUGAUCCAGCCAUGCCGCGUGAGUGAUGAAGGCCCUAGGGUUGUAAAGCUCUUUCACCGGUGAAGAUAAUGACGGUAACCGGAGAAGAAGCCCCGGCUAACUUCGUGCCAGCAGCCGCGGUAAUACGAAGGGGGCUAGCGUUGUUCGGAUUUACUGGGCGUAAAGCGCACGUAGGCGGACUAUUAAGUCAGGGGUGAAAUCCCGGGGCUCAACCCCGGAACUGCCUUUGAUACUGGUAGUCUUGAGUUCGAGAGAGGUGAGUGGAAUUCCGAGUGUAGAGGUGAAAUUCGUAGAUAUUCGGAGGAACACCAGUGGCGAAGGCGGCUCACUGGCUCGAUACCGACGCUGAGGUGCGAAAGCGUGGGGAGCAAACAGGAUUAGAAACCCGAGUAGUCCCAUGAU
rnacentral:rRNA from 1 species